rnacentral:rRNA from 1 species
UAAUUCUAUAUAUAACUAAAUUUAUUAUAGGUUACAAAACAUUUCUUUUUAAGUAAGGGGGAUUGAAUUUAGUAUUUUAAGUUAAGUACUGUAAAGGAAUAGUAAAAUUUUUAUUAUAGCAGUAUGUAGUUACGUACCUUUUGCAUUAUGGCUUGGUAAGAAAAUGUAAAAUUAAGUUUUAUAUCUAGAAACCUAAUGAGCUACUUUAAUUCGAAAUUUUAGUUUAUACAUAUAAAUGUAGCAAAAUUUAAGUUAAAAAUUAAGGUUGUAGUGAAAUUCUAUUCGUAUUAGGUGAUAGCUAGUUCUCUUAAAUAUAUAUAUAAGUAUAAUUUUAUAAUUAAAAUUUUUUUAUUUAAGUAAAUAAAUUUAGUAUAAAAAUCGGAUAUUCAAGGAUAAGCUUGAGUAUCAUUAUAAAGGGGUGUAUAAGGAUAGAACUAUUUUAGGCUUGAAAUCAGCUAUAAUUUUUAAAAUCGUUAUAGAUUAUCUAAGGUACAUAAUUGAUAUAAUUUAUAUACCUUACCUUUUGUGAUGUUAUAAGAGCAAAUAAUUUAAUUGAUUUAAUUAUUUUGUUUUUGCUAAGAUGAGUAUUUAGAACAUUUUAGUGUAUUUUUAGAUUUAAAUUUAGAAAUAUUUUAAUAUAAUUAAAGUUUUUGUAAAAUUAAUAAAAGGAAUUCGGCAAAUAAUAGCUUCGCCUGUUUAGCAAAAACAUGGCUCUUUGUUGAGCUUUUAUAAAGAGUCAAGCCUGCCCAGUGAAAAAUUUAACGGCCGCGGUACUCUGACCGUGCGAAGGUAGCAUAAUCAUUUGCCUUUCAAUUGAAGGCUAGUAUGAAAGGUCUGACGAAAGCUAAGCUGUCUUUUAUUAAAUAAAAUGAAAUUGACUUUUAGGUGCAAAGGCCUAUAUUUAACUAAAAGACAAGAAGACCCUAUUGAGCUUUAAAACUUAAAAAGAGUAAAGCAUAUUGUAGUAAGAUUUUAAUUCUUUUAAACUUUUUAGUUGGGGCGACUUUGGAACAAUAGCAGCUUCCUAAAAUUAAAAAUACUUUUAGGUUUUGAUCCAAAAUAUUUUGAUUAAUAGAAUUAGUUACCAUAGGGAUAACAGCAUAAUUCUUCUUAAGAGUUCUAAUCGAAAGAAGGGAUUGUGACCUCGAUGUUGGACUAGAAUAUCCUAAAGGUGCAGAAGUUUUUGAAGGUUGGUCUGUUCGACCAUUAAAAUUCUACAUGAUCUGAGUUCAGACCGGCGUGAGCCAGGUCAGUUUCUAUCUUUAGUUUUUUUAGCAGUUUUAGUACGAAAGGAUCAGACUGAAGAAGUAUAAAACUUUUUUCUUUGAUAAUGUAUAAUAGAGAUUUAAAUCUUAUUUU